AUCCUCUCAGAAUUGCACCUAGAGAGUUUCCAGUACUCUACCAGUUUUGACGACGGGAGGGAGAGUCAAGCAGAGGCCUAACCAUUCCAUUCCUGGCUUGGGCAGUGACUAGCGAAUGGAAGGCAAUCUGCUACAAGU
rnacentral:snoRNA from 1 species